UACCUGGUUGAUCCUGCCAGUAGUCAUAUGCUUGUCUCAAAGAUUAAGCCAUGCAAGUCUAAGUACGAGCUCUCGUACAGUGAAACUGCGAAUGGCUCAUUAAAUCAGUUAUGGUUCAUUUGAUCGUACAGUUUACUUGGAUAACUGUGGUAAUUCUAGAGCUAAUACAUGCGAGAAGCGCCGACCUCGCGGGAGGCGUGCAUUUAUCAGACCAAAAACCGGCCGCGUCUUCGGGCGCGUUCGCCUUGGUGACUCUGGAUAACUUUGCGGAUCGCACGGUCUAGCACCGGCGACGGAUCAUUCAAGUGUCUGCCCUAUCAACUUUCGUCGGUACGGUAUUUGCCUACCGAGGUUCUUACGGGUGACGGGGAAUCAGGGUUCGAUUCCGGAGAGGGAGCCUGAGAAACGGCUACCACAUCCAAGGAAGGCAGCAGGCGCGCAAAUUACCCAUUCCCGACGCGGGGAGGUAGUGACGAAAAAUAACAAUGCAGGACUCGUUCGAGGCCCUGUAAUUGGAAUGAGUACACUUUAAAAGCUUUAACGAGUAUCCAUUGGAGGGCAAGUCUGGUGCCAGCAGCCGCGGUAAUUCUAGCUCCAAAAGUAUAUAUUUAAGUUGUUGCGGUUAAAAAGCUCGUAGUUGGAUUUUGGGCGCAGGCGGCCGGUCCGUCGCAAGGCGUGUACUGGACGUCCUGGCUUUCCCUCCGGUUCUCCGCCGGUGCUCUUGACUGAGUGUCGGCGGCGGCCGGAACGUUUACUUUGAAAAAAUUAGAGUGUUCAAAGCAGGCUCUCGAGCCUGGAUAAUGGUGCAUGGAAUAAUGGAAUAGGACUUCGGUUCUAUUUUGUUGGUUUUCGGAGCGCGAGGUAAUGAUUAAGAGGGACAGACGGGGGCAUUCGUACUGUGCCGUUAGAGGUGAAAUUCUUGGAUCGGCGCAAGACGAACGACUGCGAAAGCAUUUGCCAAGAAUGUUUUCUUUAAUCAAGAGCGAAAGUCAGAGGUUCGAAGACGAUCAGAUACCGUCUUAGUUCUGACUAUAAACGAUGCCAACUAGCGAUCGGGGGGCGUUACAUUGACGACCCCUCCGGCAGCUUACGGGAAACCAAAGUCUUUGGGUUCCGGGGGAAGUAUGGUUGCAAAGCUGAAACUUAAAGGAAUUGACGGAAGGGCACCACCAGGAGUGGAGCUUGCGGAUUAAUUUGACUCAACACGGGA
rfam:Ciona savignyi cont_42628, whole genome shotgun sequence.